GAUGAACGCUGGCGGCGUGCCUAAUACAUGCAAGUCGAGCGAAUGGAUUAAGAGCUUGCUCUUAUGAAGUUAGCGGCGGACGGGUGAGUAACACGUGGGUAACCUGCCCAUAAGACUGGGAUAACUCCGGGAAACUGGGGCUAAUACCGGAUAACAUUUUGAACCGCAUGGUUCGAAAUUGAAAGGCGGCUUCGGCUGUCACUUAUGGAUGGACCCGCGUCGCAUUAGCUAGUUGGUGAGGUAACGGCUCACCAAGGCAACGAUGCGUAGCCGACCGGAGAGGGUGAUCGGCCACACUGGGACUGAGACACGGCCCAGACUACUACGGGAGGCAGCAGUAGGGAAUCUUCCGCAAUGGACGAAAGUCUGACGGAGCAACGCCGCGUGAGUGAUGAAGGCUUUCGGGUCGUAAAACUCUGUUGUUAGGGAAGAACAAGUGCUAGUUGAAUAAGCUGGCACCUUGACGGUACCUAACCAGAAAGCCACGGCUAACUACGUGCCAGCCGCCGCAGUAA
rnacentral:rRNA from 1 species